CCUACGGGAGGCAGCAGUGGGGAAUAUUGGACAAUGGGCGAAACCUGAUCCAGCCAUGCCGCGUGUGUGAAGAGGUCUUCGGAUUGUAAGCACUUUAAGUUGGGAGGCGUUACCGACAGAAUAAGCACCGGCUAACUCUGUGCCAGCAGCCGCGGUAAUACAGAGGGUGCAAGCGUUAAUCGGAAUUACUGGGCGUAAAGCGCGCGUAGGUGGUUUGUUAAGUUGGAUGUGAAAGCCCCGGGCUCAACCUGGGAACUGCAUCCAAAACUGGCAAGCUAGAGUACAGUAGAGGGUGGUGGAAUUUCCUGUGUAGCGGUGAAAUGCGUAGAUAUAGGAAGGAACACCAGUGGCGAAGGCGACCACCUGGACUGAACUGACACUGAGGUGCGAAAGCGUGGGGAGCAAACAGGAUUAGAUACCCUUGUAGUC
rnacentral:rRNA from 1 species